ACGUCGCAGGACAUGGCAGGACAUGACCAUGGUACGUGUCAGGACAUGGCCAUGUACAUGUCAGGACGUGUCAGGACAUGGCCAUGUACGUGUCAGGACGUACAGCGACGGACGUCACGACAAGUGGUGGUUGAACCUCAACUCUCGUAAUGUCGCGGCUCCAACCCGUUGCUUGUUUGGUCUCCCCGACCCUUAUCGCGCUUAGGCGCUCCGACCGCGACCCCAGGUCAGGCGGGNNN
rnacentral:lncRNA from 1 species